rnacentral:rRNA from 1 species
AGAGUUUGAUCCUGGCUCAGGAUGAACGCUAGCGGCAGGCUUAACACAUGCAAGUCGAGGGGCAGCGGGGAGGAAGCUUGCUUUCUCCGCCGGCGACCGGCGCACGGGUGAGUAACACGUAUGCAACCUGCCCCUGUCAGGGGGACAACCCGCCGAAAGGCGGGCUAAACCCGCGUACAUGCCACCGGGGCAUCCCGGAGGCAGGAAAGGCUUCGGCCGGACAGGGAUGGGCAUGCGGCGCAUUAGGCAGUAGGCGGGGUAACGGCCCACCUAACCGACGAUGCGUAGGGGUUCUGAGAGGAAGGUCUCCCACACUGGUACUGAGACACGGACCAGACUCCUACGGGAGGCAGCAGUGAGGAAUAUUGGUCAAUGGUCGGGAGACUGAACCAGCCAAGCCGCGUGAGGGAGGAAGGUACAGAGUAUCGUAAACCUCUUUUGUCAGGGAACAAAGGCGGGGACGUGUCCCCGGAUGAGUGUACCUGAAGAAAAAGCAUCGGCUAACUCCGUGCCAGCAGCCGCGGUAAUACGGAGGAUGCGAGCGUUAUCCGGAUUUAUUGGGUUUAAAGGGUGCGCAGGCGGUCUGUUAAGUCAGCGGUCAAAGCCCGGGGCUCAACCCCGGCCCGCCGUUGAAACUGGCAGUCUCGAGUUGGAGAGAAGUAUGCGGAAUGCGCGGUGUAGCGGUGAAAUGCAUAGAUAUCGCGCAGAACUCCGAUUGCGAAGGCAGCAUGCCGGCUCCACACUGACGCUGAGGCACGAAAGCGUGGGUAUCGAACAGGGAUUAGAUACCCUGGUAGUCCACGCAGUAAACGAUGAAAUGCUGGCUGUCCGGGGGGAUUGACCCCUGGGGUGGCGAAGGGAAAGCGAUAAGCAUUCCACCUGGGGAGUACGCCGGCAACGGUGAAACUCAAAGGAAUUGACGGGGGCCCGCACAAGCGAAGGAACAUGUGGUUUAAUUUGAUGAUACGCGAGGAACCUUACCCGGGCUCAAACGGGGAGUGACUCAGGCAGAGACGCCUGUUUCCCACGGGACACUCCCCGAGGUGCUGCAUGGUUGUCGUCAGCUCGUGCCGUGAGGUGUCGGCUUAAGUGCCAUAACGAGCGCAACCCCCGCGUGCAGUUGCUAACAGAUAACGCUGAGGACUCUGCACGGACUGCCGGCGCAAGCCGCGAGGAAGGCGGGGAUGACGUCAAAUCAGCACGGCCCUUACGUCCGGGGCGACACACGUGUUGCAAUGGGUGGUACAGCGGGAAGCCAGGCGGCGACGCCGAGCGGAACCCGAAAUCCACUCUCAGUUCGGAUCGGAGUCUGCAACCCGACUCCGCGAAGCUGGAUUCGCUAGUAAUCGCGCAUCAGCCAUGGCGCGGUGAAUACGUUCCCGGGCCUUGCACACACCGCCCGUCA